AUGAUGCAACCAAGUCUGCUUUCUUUUUUUUGCUUUCCCUCUGCCUUCAGCACCGGCAGGCACCUUCUCAGCUGGCGAGUGCCGAGAGGGCCAGCGAGGAACGGCCCCGAAUGGGAGCUGGAASUGAAGGGCGCCAAGUUACUCCCACCGCUUCACAGGGUGGCCAGACCCUACGGGGGUCCAAAGAGAUGCAGCGAAAGCUCUGUGUUUGGUCGCCUUCUACCACAUAGCUUCCUCUCCGCCUUCUUGACGUUCAUUCAGCUUACUGGGGCCCAGACGUGUCCAUACUACCAUCCAUGUGCAGCGUUUUCCAGCUGUUCUAUUUUUGUUGUGGUGGUUUCAUUUCCCUGAGCUCAAUGAGGCCAAGUGUACCUUUUACCAAAGAACUCCCAACACCAGGAAAAACUUCUUUCUGCAUGUGAGUCACUAAGCGAUCACUAUAAUUUUACUCCAAAGCAAACCAGUGUGAAAGGACUUCCAGGAAUAUGGGGGGAAAAAGGGGAAAAACACCCCAAAGAUUUUGCAUCCCUGUGUUUCCAAAAUGUAGAAAAUAAAAAGGGAAAUGCACUUCUCUGUGGACCUGGG
rnacentral:lncRNA from 1 species